rnacentral:lncRNA from 1 species
CCCCCACUGUACUGUGAAGCUCAGGGCAAGACUUUCUAAAAGUCUUCUGCCUACACCUGACAUGCUGUCCAGUGUGCACAGUUAUAUGUUGACUGUAUGAAGAUGGUGAAGGCUUUUCUGUAGUUGCAGAUCUCGCAAAAGGGGAGGAAGGCCUUCACCGCUGAACCCGAGCUUUGCCAUUUCGAAGUGCUGAGUCACCUCGUCCUCUCAGGGUCAGACACUUUCACGCAGGAAACGUCCUGCAGAGCACCGCAGCGGGAGCACCGAGCUGACCUGGAAGGAGAGAACAAGGGCCUUCCUGAGGCAGGACAAGGACCCAGAACUACCCAGAAUGCAGCAGGGCGGCCCCGCACGACUGAGCUCUGAUCCUAACCUGCAAAGUGAAGUUUCAAUUUCCACUUCCUGAGAAGAUGUGGAAACUCAGAGAGGAUGCCACUGUUUUGAACUAUUUUGAAGGCACAGCCACCAGAGCUUUAGGUCAGAAGAGGUCCUUGGAACUGGAAUUACAGGUGGCUGUGAGCCUCCAGGUAGGUGCUGAGAAUCAAGCAGCCUGGCUCCUCUGUAGGAGCUCUAAGGAAUGCUCUUACCUGCUGAGCCAUCUGUCCAGCCCUGAUUGUCCUGGCUGUUAAUUGAGGAAGGAAGACUUACUCUGAGGGAGGGCUGAGCCAGUCCCCAGGCUGCUCCCUGAAUGGUAUGUAGAGGAGGGGAGCCAGCUAAGCACUGACCAGCGAGGGUGUGCACAUUUUCUUUGGUCUUUGUUUUGAAUGUGGUGUGGCUGGCUGCUUCAAUUCCUGACUUGAUUUCCUCAAAAGGAUAGGCUGUAACCCAGAAUGGUAAACUGCCUU